UUUUUGAGGUUUUUUCACAAACUUAUCUAGGACGUCGUGUUGAACUUACAAUUUUUUCAACAUGGACGGCUCACGCAUGUAGGCUUGAACUGCUUGCCCGCUACCACUCAAUCAUGCAAAAUCCUGACCAAAAAUUCACAUUUUUCUCUCGAAACCAAACUCUUGAACUUGCUAUACAACAACCUUUGAACCUCCAACAAGAACAGAAUAUAUAUCAUACAUCACUUUUUUCUCGUGUUCAAUCAUGCACCCAAAAAAUUAAAACACAAUGAAUAUCAGUUGUUUGGCUCAAAACCUCCUGCAUAUAUUUUUUGAGCUGAUGUUCUUUUUGUCAUUGAACUGUUGUUGAACUAACCAGGCCGCUUCCAAGUCUGCACCUUCAAAUACCUACAUGAGUACAAUAUUUUUAGACCAUAGUUCAAGGAAGCAGUUAAGUAGUAAAGAAAAAUAGAGAGAGAGAGAGAGAGAGAGAGAGAGAGACUAACCAUUGCGUCGUUGAACGACCUGAACGCUGCAUCGUUGAACGGCCUCGGUUGGCAGUGAUGAAUGGACUAGGGUGGCUGCUGUGAACAGUCUGGGAGCUGCGGCAGGUAAGUAGUAAAUCAGAUCUUUAAAACUUCAGUCCAAGCUAAACAUUUCAGUCAGCAGUUGAAUUAAAAAAGAGCCAACCAUAAAGGCAAAGUACGCUGAACUCUGAACUUUUCUGGAGCUUUUUGUUGAACUAAAGCAUUCUUCGGAGCAGGACGAGAUUGAGCGGACCGGGAGGAAGUUGAGAAACAUACAUAGGAGAUGCAAGACCACAGUACAUCAAUUAGAUAUGUCACUGAACUUUGGGACAUUUCUGCUACAAGAACUGAAUCUACAACAAUAUUGGACUUUCAGGAUCCAUACGCAAGAUAGCUACAAAUUGCUAAAAUCAAUCACCAACAGAAAAAACACCAAAAGGUUCUCCAAUGGUUGUUUGAGGAAGAGACAAAACUAUUUUGGGGUGGCGGACGGCAGCAGCAUGUGGGCUGGGUUGUCGCGCAUCAGGGAAGGGUGAGGAAAACAGCAACCCAAUCACUAUAGUGGAAAUAGGAGCUGGCGGUCGUGGACUGCUACUCGGCAUGAACUUGAUCGUCCGGAUGCCACGGGGCUGGACUGGGGAUGACGCUGGACAGACUGGAGCAGUGGCAAGGGAGCUUCGAGCAGCAGUGUACAUCGACAAAGGUCUGCUCGCACAAGGUCAUGUACUGCUCUCCUGGGAUGAAGGGGCGAAAUGUGUGCCUCCCGAGCCGCAGCGUCGAAUGCUUUAGGUUGUGUCGCUGAACGGCCCGGUGUGGCGGCCAUGAAAGGUAUGGGUAGUACAGCGAUGGAGCUCCACAGGCAGUGGCAUAAGGCUCGACACAAUUGGCCUGGGAGCUGCGACGGUGAACAGCCUGGGGUAGCCGGGUUGGACUGCUAGUACUGAUGCCACAUCCUGGAAACCUUUGCAAUUGACAUGGGGAUGCUUCCAGAUGCACCUUCGAUCAUGCACCAAGACAUUUAAUUUUAUGUUUUUUUAUAAUAGAACAAAUACUAAUUUUUAUGCCAAGUAAGUUCAAACAGAACAUAAGUGGAGCUUCAUUUGCAAGAAUACAAAAGAACAUAUGCCUAUUUUGAUCCAUAUAGGCAUACCAACUGUUGUGCUAUAGGAAGAACAUGGAAACAAGGAGGAAAUUGGACUUGGAGUUGUUAAGUAGGUGAACUAAAAAGCAUACAAAACAUACACUAAAGUGCGGGAUCCUGCCGGUGACGUUGCGGCGGGCCGUCUCCACACACACGGCCACACUCCACCGCGCCCCAAUUUCCACCUCACCGAACUGAAUGAAAUUUAUAAAUUGAACCGAACUGAAAGAAGAAUUUGGACAUCAUGUGUACAUCAAGAAAUAAACUUGAGCAGUACCAACUACUAAACAAAAACUUUUGGUAUAUUGAGAUUAGAGAUUGUAUAUUGGUGAACUUUUUUCCCUACAGAAUUGUUAAUCAAAUAGAUGUACCAUUUGCGAGGUUUUAUCAACAUGACAAGUAGUAGCAGUACUACUCUAGGUGACAAAGUAGUAGCAACACAAAAGAAGGCCACCAUCAACAGUGAGUAAUACCGCGACAACUGAACUUUGUGUUGCCCACGCUUUCUUUACAUAGUACUUCAAGAUUUUUAUGAAAAAAGUACUACAAGAUUUGUGAACACGAGGGCAUACAAAAGUUGUAGUGAGGGUGUGAAUUAGAGCAGCUGAAAGAGGAUGCAGCAGCACGCACACACCAUCAGAUAAGUUCUCCUAUCUUCAGAACACACGUAUACAUACACACAUCUCCAUCUACAACAAACAAAAGAAAUUGUUGAGCUCCAGAGUGUUUGCAAAGUGAAUUAAUUUUUGCAACCAGAGAACUUGCUACACUUAGCAAAGGUGAAGGUGAACUACUAAUUCCCAAAAACUGCAGGAUGUCUACUUCCCUGAACCAAAACUUUUUAACUUCAUGUAUGCUCAUAUAUGCUGUUUCUUUUGAAUUCCCUAUCAAAUGAUCGGUUUCAGUAGCUGAGAAAUUGCCUCAACUCCAUAGCUACGAAAAUGAAUUUGAGUGAACCUUCACACAUAGAAAGUUUGAACUUCACUCAAAAGCUAAAUAGUUCAACCACAUGCAUACAAGCAGAAAACAUGCAAAAUUUGGUCCUGUUUAGACAUAUAUCAGGAGAAUAUCUAGAGACCACAACUUACAACUGUCUCAAUCGUGACCCUUUACUGCUACCAAUUUUUCUUCUACACUUAGACCCUCUCGAGUCUGAACUGAUACAAUUAUUUUUGAAUAAGUUAAUUGCUUUCCCCUCCUGGUAUAGCUUUAAUUGCAUUUCUUCUGAAUAAGUUAAUAAUAAACAUGAUCAUAAGAACCUCAUUUUCUCAUUUACCCAUUUCUGUCAGAUGUGUGCAUUGUUCACAUGUACUAGGAAGUUGAGGCUGCAUUUGCACUAGUAUAAUCCAACGUACACUAAGUCUGAUCACUGAUUAACAACGAAACACUGUCCAGCACUACUUCUUUUACUGGGAAGAACAGACACAUUAAGUACUAACGAUAGUCACUAGCAAUGCAUUAUUUUAUACUUUGAAAUUUCAAUAUAUUGUUAUUCACUGAUUAACAAAAAAAUCAAUAUAGUAACCGCACCCUGAGCUUGAAAGUGUUCACAUAAACAGUAAAGUUUGGAAAAACAUGCAAGUGCACCAUUGGUAAUUAAGUGUACAUAUAUCACACACCUCUCCAUCCUACUCUUCUUCUUCUUCCUUUGCUCCUGCUUUCAUUAGAAGAUCCACUCCCAAACCUUUUGUAUACAAGAUAAUUGAUAGCCAGGUUUCUUAGAAUUUUGAAAUAUACAUGAGUACAAUAGAUCAACCAAAUAGGGAACCACGUAAGUGAUG
rnacentral:lncRNA from 1 species